GCUCAGGAAAGCUCAGUCAGUAAAGCAUGAGACUCUUAAUCUCAAGGUCGUUGGUUCAAGCCCCACGUUGGGCA